rnacentral:rRNA from 1 species
GAUGAACGCUGGCGGCGUGCCUAAUACAUGCAAGUAGAACGCUGAAGGAAGGAGCUUGCUCUUUCCGGAUGAGUUGCGAACGGGUGAGUAACGCGUAGGUAACCUGCCUGGUAGCGGGGGAUAACUAUUGGAAACGAUAGCUAAUACCGCAUAACAGUAGAUGUUGCAUGAUAUCUACUUAAAAGGUGCAAUUGCACCACUACCAGAUGGACCUGCGUUGCAUUAGCUAGUUGGUGAGGUAACGGCUCACCAAGGCGACGAUACAUAGCCGACCUGAGAGGGUGAUCGGCCACACUGGGACCGAGACACGGCCCAGACUCCUACGGGAGGCAGCAGUAGGGAAUCUUCGGCAAUGGACGGAAGUCUGACCGAGCAACGCCGCGUGAGUGAAGAAGGUUUUCGGAUCGUAAAGCUCUGUUGUAAGAGAAGAACGAGUGUGAGAGUGGAAAGUUCACACUGUGACGGUAUCUUACCAGAAAGGGACGGCUAACUACGUG